rnacentral:rRNA from 1 species
AGUGAACGCUGGCGGCAGGCCUAACACAUGCAAGUCGAGCGGCAGCGCGGGGGCAACCCUGGCGGCGAGCGGCGGACGGGUGAGGAAUUCGUCGGAAUCUGCAUUUUUGUGGGGGAUAACGUAGGGAAACUUACGCUAAUACCGCAUACGUCCUACGGGAGAAAGUGGGGGACCGCAAGGCCUCACGCAGAAAGAUGAGCCGACGACCGAUUAGCUAGUUGGUGGGGUAAAGGCCCACCAAGGCGACGAUCGGUAGCUGGUCUGAGAGGAUGAUCAGCCACACUGGGACUGAGACACGGCCCAGACUCCUACGGGAGGCAGCAGUGGGGAAUAUUGGACAAUGGGCGCAAGCCUGAUCCAGCCAUGCCGCGUGUGUGAAGAAGGCCUUCGGGUUGUAAAGCACUUUUGUCCGGAAAGAAAUCCCUGGAGCUAAUACCUUCGGGGGAUGACGGUACCGGAAGAAUAAGCACCGGCUAACUUCGUG